rnacentral:rRNA from 1 species
UACGUAGGUGGCAAGCGUUGUCCGGAUUUACUGGGUGUAAAGGGCGUGCAGCCGGAGAGACAAGUCAGAUGUGAAAUCCACGGGCUCAACUCGUGAACUGCAUUUGAAACUGUUUCCCUUGAGUGUCGGGGAGGUAAUCGGAAUUCCUUGUGUAGCGGUGAAAUGCGUAGAUAUAAGGAAGAACACCAGUGGCGAAGGCGGAUUACUGGACGAUAACUGACGGUGAGGCGCGAAAGCGUGGGGAGCAAACAGG